GACGAACGCUGGCGGCGUGCCUAACACAUGCAAGUCGAACGGAACUGUUUUGAAAGAUUUCUUCGGAAUGAAUUUGAUUUAGUUUAGUGGCGGACGGGUGAGUAACGCGUGAGUAACCUGCCUUCAAGAGGGGAAUAACAUUCUGAAAAGAAUGCUAAUACCGCAUGACAUAUCGGAACCACAUGGUUUUGAUAUCAAAGAUUUUAUCGCUUGAAGAUGGGCUCGCGUCCGAUUAGUUAGUUGGUGAGGUAACGGCUCACCAAGACCGCGAUCGGUAGCCGGACUGAGAGGUUGAACGGCCACAUUGGGACUGAGACACGGCCCAGACUCCUACGGGAGGCAGCAGUGGGGGAUAUUGCGCAAUGGGGGCAACCCUGACGCAGCAACGCCGCGUGAAGGAUGAAGGUUUUCGGAUUGUAAACUUCUUUUAUUAAGGACGAAAAAUGACGGUACUUAAUGAAUAAGCUCCGGCUAACUACGUG
rnacentral:rRNA from 1 species